UGGAUUGCCUCCCCCACAUAUCCAUGUGAGAACAUGCUUUUCAGAGUCGCUACAAUGAUAAUUGUAGGAGUGUCUGUUGCGUGGUCGUGCUUGUUUCUCUCUUUGCUCUGUGAUGGACCAGUGACUGGUUAAUAGAUUUCAGGUCACUGUGACCCUGAACAGAAUUAAAAUGAGUAAGGGAGCGAGUUGCUCUGAACUCUGUUUCUGGCUGCUAAAUAGAUUGAAUUAUUGUGUGCUUCCUUUUUUCCCAUUUCUCUAAAAUAAGCAGGGAACGGCAUUUCAAUCUGAAAAGACUCACAAAGAGAAGGAUGGCAAGUAGAAAAGUUUUAAUGGUGAGAAAUUACAUGGUUAUUUCUUUGGCGCUCGGACCUGGGAGGAAGACAUGAAUGCUGAGAAUGACAUGAGCUAAGACGAUCAUUUGUAAGGCUUAGAUUUAAAUAAGUCUUCCCCCCAAAAAUAUGGCCGAGGCCGGGACGAGGCCUAAUAGAGUACUAGAGGGGCAUCAAUCAAGAAAGUGGAAUGAAAUAACAAAGAAAAAGAGAAGCGAAAGCCGCAAGGAAGAUUAAAAGCAGAGAAAAUAAGUUUGUAAAUAGGCUAUGAAGCAAGGAAAAUAAUAAAGAAGCAAAGCAGAUGGAAGAUAUGCCGUGAGGGGCAAUGCGAGGUGAUAGAUAUGCCGUUUUGGCAAUGUGAGGUGAUAGAUAUGCCGAGAGGGGCAAUGCGAGUUGAUAGAUAUGCCGAGAGGGGCAAUGCGAGUUGAUAGAUAUGCCGAGAGGAGCAAUGCAAGUUGAUAGAUAUGCCGAGAGUGGCAAUGCGAGGUGAUAGAUAUGCCGAGAUGGGCAAUGCGAGGUGAUGGAUAUGCCGUUUUGGCAAUGCGAGGUGAUAGAUAUGCCGUUUUGGCAAUGCGAGGUGAUGGGUAUGCCAUUUUGGCAAUGCGAGGUGAUAGAUAUGCCGUUUUGGCAAUGCAAGCGAUGCAAUGCUUGAUGAAAGCUGAGAGAGCAGAGUAAGGUGAUAGAUAUGCCAAUAUAGGCAAUGCGUGAUUAGAGGUAUAUCCGCUGAGGAUUUGAAUAAAGAUAUCAAGUUAUGAACGGAUCAGCUAGUAAAGAACAGAUAGAAUGGGUAAUGAAGGAAUAAAAAGAUGAAGGAUGAAGAAAAAUGAGAUGAAGAAAUAUGGAAAACUAUGGAGUGCUGAAAAUGCCAUUAAAGAAAUGCAGAUGAAGAUAAGAAAUAAGGUUAAAAUAAAGAUCUAUGAGUCGGGGUUGAGUAAUUAGAGAACGACAAAGUAAAUGCAGGAUAAUGAGUAAAGUACUGCACAAAGCAUGAGAAGACAAGGAAUAAUCAGCCUCCAAUUAAGGAAGGACGAAACAAAUAGAAGUACUUUUCGAAGAACAUAGGUGAGCUAGAGUGAGGGAGAAAAUUAGACAAGACUGGCAGGUGGUGAGGGGAAGAGACUUGUAAAAUAAUAGCAUGACGAUUGAACAAAGACAAUGAUGGAUAAAGGCCAACCACCACCAGGAAUUGUUGGGAGCUCUUACUUGAGAGCUGAGAAAACAUUGAGCAGAUAGAACGGAGUGGAAAUCCGGGCGAACAUAGGAAGAGAAGGAUGAAGAAGACCAACAACCCAAUUGCUGGAGAGCGGCUGAGGGAGAGACAUUGGGUCACUGCAGUAGUGGCUGCUCCUAUUCUGAAAGAAUGGCGUGAAAACUGGAUGGAGAGACCUUCUUUUAGACCGGGAAGCUACAGACUGUAAAACUCAAGAUGAGUCAGCCGAGCGAACGGCGACGCUGGAAGAGAAGGAGAUACUGUUCCAGUUAGAAAGGAGACUGGAGCGGAAAGCCCGGCAAUUUGUGACCGUGUAGAAGUUCUGUAAAAAGGAAGAGAAGAGCAAAGCACUCUGAUGGCCGACCAAGCUGCUGGAAUCAGAAGGUGGCUUGCAGUAUAAAUGUCAGUGGAAAGAACAGCGUAGUCUAAGCAGGCUCUUGAUUGAGCGAGGGUGGAUGCAGCUAAGGCUGAGAAGGACUUGAGAUACUGAUGAAAAACGAGCAGCCAAAUAAGAAAUAGGACAACAAUGAGGGACGGAAAGUAUUGAAUUAUCUAUGCUCGAGUGAAACUAUGCAGCUGGCAACUGAAUGCCUAGAGACGGCUGAGCGCCAAAAGAGGAUCCUAAGAAAUGUUAGGGAGAAUCUUUAAUAAUAUUAAGCAUAGAUGAUUUUGUCCAUACAUCCCAUAAAAAUAAGAAUAAGGUUUUGACAUGAAUGACCUGUGGCUGGGGCACUGUUUUUUUUUUUAAAGGGAGUAGCCAGUAACUGUUUAAUUAAAAUGCAGCACCACACUUAAAAAUAAAUAAAUUAAAAAUAAGACUAAAAUGGUGCAAAUUAAUUUAAAUUAAAAAUGGACACCAGCUACUACACAACCUAUCAGACAGACACCGUAAUGGUGGCACGUAAUCUACUGAUAAACACUAGGGCAGUGCACAUCUAUUGCUUUGGAGUGCCAGAUAAAACCACGUGUGACCUUCUUGCAGGGCUCUUUGUCAAUCUUUCACAUACGGCGAUGAUCCGAGAUAGGAGCCUCAGCGCUGAUCUCUGUAAUCAUUCCUCUGCUUAAUUUAGAAUAAAAGAGCAGAAAGUUAGAAGCUGUUUGAGAAUCGUCCUUUAAGAGCCAGUGUUAGAGAGUGUGAUCGGUUCUGGGGACCAAGGACUGGAGGAACUCGGAGAGGUCUGACCGGCAGCAGGGUGCGGCAGUUCGGACAGAAAGCCGGGGACGAGAUGAUUUAAACGAAGCAGAACGUAAUCAGAGGAAGCAAUGCAUUUAGACAGCCAUGGGAGAUGGUAAAAUGAAAGAACCAGAUAAUAAGCUGCCUCGGAAGGAUUUAGAGCUGAGCCUGAAGGAGAUGGUAAAAUACAUGAGAGUAAAUGAUCAACCUGAAUGAAAAGAGGGGUGGGAAACACCGCACGCUUGAAGAGCACAUUAAUAAAAAAGAUAUAUAGAGAGAGUGGAGAGAUACAUCUUGUCUAGAGACAAGCUAGGCUGGGCGCUAGGAAGGGCAACUGGUGGUGGGAGGGGGGUGCGAGGAGCAGGCAGCUACGAUGGAGCGGGAAGAGGAAAUACUGAUGUGGCAGAGAUGGCGGCGAACUCACAGCAGGAUGAUCGGUUUGAGGGAUGAAGAUGGAAGGAGAACUGCUGGAGAAACCAGGCCGGAUGACGCAGCGGCGGGAGCCGGUAAGGAGGCAGGGCUACCUCGGCGACGCUUAGCAGGAGAAGUGUAGUUCUUGAUGCGCUUUCCGCUUGCCCAGAGCUGAGACAAGGAAGAAAUGAGCCAUGAAGCGAGGCAAGCGCUCCUACGAGCGGUAGGGGAGGAAGGAGAGUCUGUUACGAAGUGUGAGGAGAUGUCGGAGUCGUAGAUGAGCUCAGCUGACAAGCGAAGAUGAACACGGUAGAAGCUCCUUUAAAAGCAAGGCGUCGGAAGGUGAUUGGAUGGAGAAUCAGACGGACAGGAUGCUGAUUGGAAGGCCGGGAGACGCACCGCAGAGUCACUGGAAGGUGGAGGUGAUGACGCUUGUAAAGACCCUCUCAGUCACGGCUCUAUUGUGUACUACCGGGAAAAGCUGAUGUCGCUGAGUGACAUACAUAGCUCCACUCGGGAGACCGCACAUCCUCGAGGAGACAAGGAGAAUUACACGGGGAGGCAGAGCUGCAACUGAGUGUCGUCAGAAUAAAACAAAGGAUCCUGUCCCAACAGCCAGCGUCCGGUUCUUACCUCGGUGGUUGGUGCUCCUUUGGUUUGAGGACUUCCUAGAAGACCCUUCCUCAGGCUGCUGCUCUUAGUCUCCUUACUGCUCCUCAACUCUCAUACCGUCUAGCUACACUGUUGCUCAGCAACCCAUUGCUCAGCUGCCUGUCCACCCUCAGCCUGCUGUGGUGCUCCCAUCAGUCUCACGCAGGAGAAACACAAAACAGAUGCUCAGCCAGCACAAACCUCUUAGAUGCUCCAAACCUGACAACCUCAGACUCAGAGAGUUACUCACCUUCCCUGGAUUUCCACCUUCAUCCACAAACAUGUUCGUCCUGAUCCGGUGCAGAAAUCCUGAAGAUCUCCACUUGUAUUUGUUAAUAAACUAUUCUGUUGAACAUGUGUGUGUAAUUGUUGUCUGCAUCAGAGCUGUAAAAUAAUACAGCAAUGACAGGGGCAUUGAUACAUGUUCUUUCAGAUGUUUAGAAAAGACAAUGUAUCAUUCUGCUUUCACUCUACAAUCAAGCAUUAAUUUGUAUUCUUAUGUCAUAUAAUAGGAAUCAAAUGCAUUGAAAUGUGUGGUUGUUUUGAGUUGUAUAAAUUUGCUUUAGCAAGGCAGUGAAUCAGUUACCUUAAUUUAUAUCCACUUCAACUAGAAAGUAAUCUUUAAGACAUUUCAUAUUAGCUAAAGCCACAUUGAUGACACUUAUUUUAUACAUAUUUGCUGAGUUAUAUAUGUGAUCUAAAAGUAUGUAAACAAAGUGCCACCAAGUUAUGGAUUUCUAUAGAAAUUUUGUAUCUGACCAGUCUGUGUGGGAACAUUCAUGUUUUUCAUUAUAAACCCUUUAAAUUUGAUUGUCAGGCUCUAAUAUUCCACUAACCUAUGUAAACUGUUAAAGCUGUUUUCUGUGUAUGCUACAUAGUUAAAGGAGUUGCCUAAAGCUGUGUAAAAUCCAGUGAAGAAAACAGUCAAACUGUAAUUUGUGAAACUGUCACAAGUGGCAUUUUUAUCAAGUUAAAAAGCCUGUAUUUUGAGGUUUGAACGGUGUUGGUGUUCCAAACUUUUCUGUCAAACAGGAGACAUGUUGAAUGUACCUCCUAUUAAACCUCAUACUUUUAAAACUUUA